rnacentral:rRNA from 1 species
UGGGGAAUAUUGCGCAAUGGGCGAAAGCCUGACGCAGCGACGCCGCGUGGGGGAUGAAGGCCUUCGGGUUGUAAACCUCUUUCACCACCGACGAAGCUAACGUGACGGUAGGUGGGGAAGAAGCGCCGGCUAACUACGUGCCAGCAGCCGCGGUAAUACGUAGGGCGCAAGCGUUGUCCGGAAUUAUUGGGCGUAAAGAGCUCGUAGGCGGUCUGUCGCGUCUGCCGUGAAAACCCGAGGCUUAACCUCGGGCUGGCGGUGGAUACGGGCAGACUAGAGGUAGGUAGGGGAGAAUGGAAUUCCCGGUGUAGCGGUGAAAUGCGCAGAUAUCGGGAGGAACACCGGUGGCGAAGGCGGUUCUCUGGGCCUUACCUGACGCUGAGGAGCGAAAGCGUGGGGAGCGAACAGGAUUAGAUACCCUGGUAGUCCACGCCGUAAACGUUGGGCGCUAGGUGUGGGGUCUUUCCACGGACUCCGUGCCGUAGCUAACGCAUUAA